GUGUGUGUGUUUUGAGUAUGUGUCUCUGGGAUUGUGUGUGUGUUUUGAGUAUGUGUCUCUGGGAUUGUGUGUGUGUUUGAGUAUGUGUCUCUGGGAUUGUGUGUGUUUGAGUAUGUGUCUCUGUGAUUUUGUGUGUGUAGCUGUGUGUGACUGCAUGGGGUCCAGGCUUAUUUAGCAGGCAAAUCAAUAGCAGGCUAAAUGGUAAUGACCAGUCCCCAACUCAGAGCUCAAGGCCUGGGGAGAGAAGGACCUGCCCUACCCUGUCCGUCGCCCUCCACCUUCCUCAAUCCCACCCUCCCCUCCCAGUCUGCAGCCACAGCAGCCGUCACACAACCUCAGGCAGCCUAGUUAGCCCUGGAUAAAAAGAGCUAGAACCUGCGAUCAAUAGUGUUAGUCUUGUCUGUCUAAUUGCUCAUUGGUUGACAUUGGCGCCAGGCUAUAUGUAAGUGCAUGUUCUGUAGUGAUCGUCUGGCAUUUGCCUCUCUGUCCCACCUCACGCCUAGUGUUGGGUUCACACUCUGCCCCUCUCUCCUCUCCUCUCUGUUCACCCACGUUCGGCAUGGGAAAACCUGACCCGUUGGGCUGGCUGCACCCCAGUUAUCAUGUCGGGACGCAACCAUCCAGAGGCUCCGGUGAGAUGUGCUGCUCUCCCACCAGGCCCGCGACUCCCAGUCUGCUCAGCUGGAUGUCCAUGGGCAGAGGAUCUCUCAGCUGCAGACGGAGCUACAGGAGAGCCAACUGGAGCUCCAGAGGGGACACAGCCGAAGAGAGCAGCAGCAGAGGGACCUGCAGACCCAGACACAGCAGGCAGAGGAGCUCCACACUCAGGUGGAAAGACUGGCAGCAGUGGUGUGUUCUCUGCAGAGCUCUGCCAGGGUCAGAGAGGACACAGUGUGCGCAGGCCGAGCAGAGGUGUGUGGACCUGGAGUGGGAGCUGACAGAGACCCCUCCCCAGAGACCAAGGGAAGCCUGGGCUGAGGAGCAGACCCAGAAGUUCCAGGCCACGGUGUCCAGUCUGAAGAGCCAGCAUGGCUGUGUUAGUCAGCAGGUACGCAGGUAUGUGACCGCCCCAAUCCUAACCCUUUCCCCCUUGAUUCCUCACCCCCUACCCAUACCCCAUACCCCAUCCCUACCACACCCUGCUGUUACAAUCCCUAAUCCCUACCACAUGCUGCUGUUACCAUCCCUAUCACACCCUGCUGUUAACAUACCUAAUCACUACCACAUGCUGCUGUUACCAUCCCUAUCACACCCUGCUGUUAAAAUACCUAAUCCCUACCACAUGCUGCUGUUACCAUCCCUAUCACACCCUGCUGUUAAAAUACCUAAUCCCUACCACAUGCUGCUGUUACCAUCCCUAUCACACCCUGCUGUUACC
rnacentral:lncRNA from 13 species